rnacentral:rRNA from 1 species
CAGUCGCCACGGAAAUACGAAGGGGGCUAGCGUUGUUCGGAUUUACUGGGCGUAAAGCGCACGUAGGCGGAUCGAUCAGUCAGGGGUGAAAUCCCAGAGCUCAACUCUGGAACUGCCUUUGAUACUGUCGAUCUGGAGUAUGGAAGAGGUGAGUGGAACUCCGAGUGUAGAGGUGAAAUCCGUAGAUAUUCGGAAGAACACCAGUGGCGAAGGCGGCUCACUGGACGCGUAUUGACGCUGAGGUGCGAAAGCGUGGGGAGCAAACAGGAUUAGAUACCCGAGUAGUCCCUGUCUCUUAUAC